AUGAAGGCCAAGAGCGGCGCCGCCGCCGGGGAGAGGAGGCCGGUGCUGUCGAGGACCAUACUGCUCCUCUGCGCCUGCAGCUUCGGCCUCGGCAUGCUCUUCACCGACCGGUUCGGAGCGAUGCCGGACUUGAAGAGCCCGGUGGUGGCGCAGCGGCGGCGCCAGGAAGAGGAGCUGCAGAUCGUUUCUGAAGAUUUUGUUGCCAAGACGAAACCAUCUGACGACAGGGACGUCAUGGGAGAAGUGGCCAAGACUCAUGAGGCCAUACAAUAUUUAGACAAGUCGAUUGCCACGCUACAGAUGGAGCUGGCAGCGCGGCGCAGCAAGCAUGAGCUGCUUGAGAGUGCGGAUGGCGUGAGGCAGGACAGGAAAAAGGCUUUUGUGGUGAUCGGGAUCAACACCGCCUUCAGUAGCAAGAAGCGCCGGGAUUCUGUCAGGGAGACCUGGAUGCCUCAAGGUGAGAAACUCAAGAAAUUGGAAGAGGAAAAGGGAGUCGUCAUUCGAUUCAUGAUCGGUCAUAGCCCGGCAUCGAACAGCGCCCUUGAUCAGGCGAUAGACGUGGAAGAUGCUAUUCAUCAUGACUUUCUUAGGCUGGACCAUGUUGAAGGUUACCACAAGCUAUCUGCAAAGACCAAGACAUUCUUCUCCACUGCUGUGGCCUCAUGGGAUGCUGAUUUUUAUGUCAAGGUGGAUGACGAUGUCCAUGUCAACCUAGGAAUGCUCCUCACAACCCUCGGGCGGCACAAAUUGAAACCCCGUGUCUACAUUGGCUGUAUGAAGUCUGGACCGGUUCUUUCCGACAAAAGUUCGAAAUACCACGAGCCCGAGUUCUGGAAGUUCGGAGAAGACGGGAACAAGUACUUCCGGCACGCGACCGGGCAGAUAUACGCCAUCUCGAAGGACCUCGCCACCUACAUCUCAGUCAACAACCCCCUUCUGCACAAAUUCGCGAACGAAGAUGUGUCGCUGGGAGCAUGGUUCAUCGGGCUAGAUGUGGAGCACAUCGACGACAGGGACAUGUGCUGCGGAACACCACCAGACUGCGAGUGGAAGGCCCAGGCGGGGAACGCAUGCGUUGCGUCGUUUGACUGGAGGUGCAGCGGGGUCUGCAACCCAGUCGAGCGGCUCAAGGACGUGCACAUGAGGUGCGGCGAAGGAGACGAAGCGAUCUGGAGCGCCUCAUUCUGA
rnacentral:rRNA from 1 species